AACUGAUACUACCUGCGGGAACCUGCGGAAGGAUCAUUACUGAGUGAGGGCCCUCUGGGUCCAACCUCCCACCCGUGUUUAACGAACCUUGUUGCUUCGGCGGGCCCGCCUCACGGCCGCCGGGGGGCAUCCGCCCCCGGGCCCGCGCCCGCCGAAGACACCUGUGAACUCUGUCUGAAGUUGCAGUCUGAGAAACUAUUUAAAUUAGUUAAAACUUUUAACAACGGAUCUCUAGAUCGG
rnacentral:misc_RNA from 1 species